rnacentral:rRNA from 1 species
UUUGGGCGUGUCUCCCUUCUCGGGAGACUCUCUCAACCCCACGAACCCUUGACCUCAAAUCGGGUGAGACUACCCGCUGAACUUAAGCAUAUCAAUAAGCGGAGGA